UCCUGUGGUGCUGGAGAAGAAUUGCAGCACCCACUGCUGUGGGUGGGAGGCAGGGGGGCUCCUGAAAGUCUGGGGAUGAUGAGUUAAAUCCAAAAUUCAACUAUCUAUAUCUCCCACCUUACAUGCGUUCAGCUUCAGGUAUAUGAAGAUAAUUGAACAAGUCUGCUCUUCUGAGAGUUGUUUUCUGCAGAACCACCACCCCCUGGGAGCUUGUGAAGAUCUUUUAUGGAAGGGCUUGGUUGCUCCCUCAGCGCUGGUACUGCCCCGUGUCAUCCGUUAUUGCUGGUUUGUCAGGCGAGGCGUCGUCCAGAUCUGAAAAAUGGGCAUAAGACACUUCAGCUGAAGGCCUCCUGGACAUCCCAGAGGAGGAGGGAAGGAGGUGCUGGGUGUGAUGGUAUCAUCAGAGCUCAAAUCCCUGCUCACCUCUGUACUGCAGGAUGUCCUCAGUGUAGGCCAACAUGCUGGGGAACGUGCUGCUGAGGAACAGCCCCAGCGACGCCGUCCCCACGAACAAGAAGACAACGCUGUAGGAGAAAAUCAGGAGCAGGAGGAAGGUGAUGAGGACUCCAACCUGUGGACAAGACACACACACACACAAGUGGUCAGGGAGAUGGGAAAUGCUGAGUUGCAAUAGGCUCUAGAUGUUUAUUUUCUUUUCCAGACUGUUCUCUGCAAAAAAAUAAACAAUACUGAAAAGAGAUGACAAUCUCUGUCUGAACAGCUGCAGUAACCAGCCAAAUAAAAUCCAUCUACCUUUACAGUA